AUGCUCACUUCAGCAGCACAUGUACUAAAAUUGGAACAAUACAGAGAUUAGCAUAGCCUCUGCACAAGGGUGACAUGCAAAUUCAAGAAGUGCUUCAUGUUUUG